rnacentral:rRNA from 1 species
UACAGAGGUCUCAAGCGUUGUUCGGAUUCAUUGGGCGUAAAGGGUGCGUAGGCGGCGGGGAAAGUCUGAUGUGAAAUCCUGGGGCUCAACCCUGGAACUGGCAUUGGAUACUUCCUUGCUAGAGUACUGGAGAGGAAACUGGAAUUUACGGUGUAGCAGUGAAAUGCGUAGAGAUCGUAAGGAAGACCAGUGGCGAAGGCGAGUUUCUGGACAGUUACUGACGCUGAGCACGAAGGCCAGGGGAGCAAACGGG